rnacentral:rRNA from 1 species
UGGGGAAUAUUGGACAAUGGGGGAAACCCUGAUCCAGCAAUGCCGCGUGGGUGAAGAAGGCCUGCGGGUUGUAAAGCCCUUUCGGUGAGGACAAAACGCGUCGCACUAACACUGCGAUGUUUUGGUUUAACUCAUUAAAGAAGCACCGGCUAACUCUGUGCCAGCAGCCGCGGUAAUACAGAGGGUGCGAGCGUUAAUCGGAAUUACUGGGCGUAAAGCGCACGUAGGCGGUGAGGUAAGUUGGAUGUGAAAUCCCCGGGCUUAACUUGGGAAUUGCAUUCAAGACUGCCUUACUCGAGUGUGGGAGAGGGAAGCGGAAUUCCAGGUGUAGCGGUGAAAUGCGUAGAUAUCUGGAGGAACAUCAGUGGCGAAGGCGGCUUUCUGGCCCAACACUGACGCUGAGGUGCGAAAGCGUGGGGAGCAAACAGG